UAUAAAUGAUAAGAUUAUGAGUAAUUUCACUUUUCAUGUUUCGUAAUUUUUUUUUACAAUUAGAAUAUAUUCCCUUAUAAUCAGAAAAUAUAAGCAUUGUUUUAAAAGAUAGUUGGAUAUAAAAUAUAUUUUCAUACUUCUAAAAAUAUCGUAGAAGGGUUGGGGAGGGAAAACCUCUGGCUAAUUAGAUAUUCUGAAAGAAAAAAAAUGGUGUUCUGAAAAUGGCCAGUGCAGCUGAACAAGUAAGAUUUGUGGUGGUGGUGGUGGUGGUGGUGGUUCUUCCUUGCUGCCACCACUUUCCAAGGGAGUUCUGUUUUGGGUCUAGCUUCCUGAAUUGAUUAAUGGCAGACUUCUCUAGGACAUUUCUUUACAGAAGUAUUUGAGAACUCUAUGGAUGUGAGAUUUCCCUUAAGUCUCUAGUUAAUAAUUAGCCCUGAGUAUACCACCAAUUGACAUAAAGGUUUUUUUCACGCACUUGUGGGGGAUUUGUUUUGGAGCUUGACAUUUCUGUGUACUAGCUACUGAAUUGGGAGAAGAAAGGAGUGCAGUGUCUUCAGGGCCUUGUUAAAAAUCAGAUCCACAGCCUGAGCCAGUGAAGCUCUGGUUUUAUAGAAGUGAUGCCUUAGCAUCCGUUCUCAAUUGUACCCUCUGCCCUUGCGUCUGUUUACAAGAAAAAUCUGUAACUACCAGUCAAUUUAAUACUCAUACGUCCCUACGGAGUUUUGUGAAAUUAAAAUAUAAGUAAUUUCUUUGCUCUAUGAAAUCUGAUAGUAUUGUUUUGUUUGUACAGGAAAUAGCACAAAUGUUUGUCAGAGUUGGGAUGUGUGAACAAGCAGUGACUGCAUUUUUGAAAUGUAGUCAACCAAAGGCAGCGGUAGAUACCUGCGUACAUCUCAACCAAUGGAACAAAGCUGUUGAAUUGGCUCAAAAUCAUAAUAUGAAAGAAAUUGGAUCUCUGUUAGCUAGGUAUGCAUCUCAUUUACUGGAAAAGAAUAAAACUUUUGAUGCCAUAGAACUCUAUCGGAAAGCCAAUUACUUUUUGGAUGCUGCUAAACUGAUGUUUAAGGUUGCAGAUGAAGAGGCAAAGAAAGGAAGUAAACCUUUACGUGUCAAGAAGCUCUAUGUAAUGUCAGCCUUACUUAUAGAGCAACACUAUGAACAGGUGAAGAAUGCCCAGCGAGGAAAAGUUAAAGGAAAAAGUUCAGAGGUAAAGUAGCAGGUUAAAUAACAUUAAAUCAUCCGAAGUGUUUAAGAAAAAAGAGAAAGAGACUGUCAGACUUCUCUUAUGGACAGGUCAUUUAAUUUGCGUGUCUGCAUUUGUUUCUUUAAAUGAUAUGAAGAAAAAUAAUGACUGACUUAGAAUUAGUAUUCAAAUUUAGAAAUUUCUACGUAGAAAUAUUGAAAUUGUUUUUCUGUAAUACGAAUCUGUAGUCUUUGCUUUAAUGUCUUAUUGUUGUUAAAAAAUUUUACUUACCUGGGAAAUCCUCCUUUUCUCAUCAGUGAGUUUUAAAACUUUCCUAGAUAUAUUAUUUUAAUGCGUAAAAGAAUGUCUGAUUAACUUAAAAUCUAAUUAGUUAUGUUUUAAAAUUUAUUCAUACCAGUUUAACAAACUAUGAAUUAUACUAAAAAAUGAAGUCUGUUUUGGGUGCAGUGGCUCACACCAGUAAUCUCAGUGACUAGGGAGGCUUAGGUGGGAGGAUCACUUGAGUCCGUGAGUUUGAGACUGCAGUGAGCUAUGACCAUGCAACUGCUUUCCAGCUUGGGUGACAGUAAUACCUCAUCUCUUAAAAAAAAGUCUGUAAUCAUAGUUUAGUAAUGAUAAAAUCUGCUCGUUUAGAUACUUUAAUGACUGUUGUUAUUCGGGAGUUGAUGCUGUGUGUGUGUUUGUACUGAUGCAAAGUGUGGGCUGACUUUACUUGUAGGCCACUUCUGCCUUGGCUGGUUUGCUGGAAGAGGAAGUUCUAUCUACAACAGAUCGUUUCACAGAUAAUGCAUGGAGAGGGGCAGAGGCUUACCACUUCUUUAUACUUGCACAGAGGCAGCUCUAUGAGGGAUAUGUGGACGCUGCACUGAAGACAGGUGGGCGUGUCACCUAAUGUGUAUAGUGUGUCUGAAUAUUAUAAAUUGAGUGUGAAGGGCCAGCUUCUUCAAUUUGCCUUUAUGUGGCCUUCAAUAACAUUUUUUCCUAUGGAUUUAUUUUCUUACGUUUGAGAUUAUGCUAUAUAUAAUUUGUCUUAGGCAUUCCCAUUUUUGAAGUUUUUUUUUAAUGCAGAGAAAACACAUAGCUCACAGAAAUGUCAGAAAUUUGAGAUAAGCAAAAAGAACGUGUAUAGCAUUCAUAUGGCUAGCCAU
ensembl:lincRNA